CCUACGGGAGGCAGCAGUUAGGAAUCUUGGACAAUGGGCGCAAGCCUGAUCCAGCCAUGCCGCGUGAGUGAUGAAGGCCUUAGGGUUGUAAAGCUCUUUCAGCGGGGAAGAUAAUGACGGUACCCGCAGAAGAAGCCCCGGCUAACUUCGUGCCAGCAGCCGCGGUAAUACGAAGGGGGCUAGCGUUGCUCGGAAUCACUGGGCGUAAAGCGCACGUAGGCGGCUUUCUAAGUCAGGGGUGAAAUCCUGGAGCUCAACUCCAGAACUGCCUUUGAUACUGGAGAGCUUGAGUCCGGGAGAGGUGAGUGGAACUCCGAGUGUAGAGGUGAAAUUCGUAGAUAUUCGGAAGAACACCAGUGGCGAAGGCGGCUCACUGGCCCGGUACUGACGCUGAUGUGCGAAAGCGUGGGGAGCAAACAGGAUUAGAUACCCUAGUAGUC
rnacentral:rRNA from 1 species